rnacentral:rRNA from 1 species
GACGAACGCUGGCGGCGUGCUUAACACAUGCAAGUCGAACGGGUCUGCCCUGUUUUUUGCGGGGUGGGUCAGUGGCGAACGGGUGAGUAACACGUGAGUAACCUGCCCCUCACUUCUGGAUAACCGCUUGAAAGGGUGGCUAAUACGGGGUGUUCUGGCUGUGCCGCAUGGUGUGGCUGGGAAAGAUUCACUUUUGUGGUGUUUUGGUGGGGGAUGGGCUCGCGGCCUAUCAGCUUGUUGGUGGGGUGAUGGCCUGCCAAGGCUUUGACGGGUGGCCGGCCUGAGAGGGUGGGCGGUCACACUGGGACUGCGAUACGGCCCAGACUCCUGCGGGAGGCAGCAGUGGGGGGUAUUGCACACUGGGCGGAAGCCUGAUGCAGCGGCGUCGCGUGAGGGAUGGAGGCCUUCGGGUUGUGAACCUCUUUCGCCGGUGAAGAAGGUCCUGCUCUUUGUGGUGGGGUUGACGGUAGCCGGGUUAUGAAGCGCCGGCUAACUACGUG